rnacentral:rRNA from 1 species
UACGUAGGGGGCAAGCGUUGUCCGGAUUUAUUGGGCGUAAAGAGCGUGUAGGCGGCUUUGCAAGUCCGUUGUGAAAACUCGAGGCUCAACCUCGAGACGCCGGUGGAAACUGCAAAGCUAGAGUCCGGAAGAGGAGAGUGGAAUUCCUGGUGUAGCGGUGAAAUGCGCAGAUAUCAGGAGGAACACCUGUGGCGAAAGCGGCUCUCUGGGCAGUAACUGACGCUGAGGAGCGAAAGCGUGGGGAGCGAACAGG